rnacentral:misc_RNA from 1 species
UCACCGCUUGCGCGGGCAGUUUCUCCAGAGUCCCCGACAUUACUCGCUGGCAACUGGAGAUAGGGGUUGCGCUCGUUGCAGGACUUAACCUAACACCUCACGGCACGAGCUGACGACAGCCAUGCAGCACCUAGUUUUGGGUCCUUGCGGACUGAUCCCUUUCAGGAUCAUUCCCUAACUUUCAAGCCCAGGUAAGGUUCCUCGCGUACCAUCGAAUUAAACCACAUGCUCCUCCGCUUGUGCGGGCCCCCGUCAAUUCCUUUGAGUUUCAUCCUUGCGGACGUACUCCCCAGGUGGAUAACUUAACGUUUUCACUAAGCCGCUGACUGUGUAUCGCCAACAGCGAGUUAUCAUCGUUUAAGGCGUGGACUAC